CCUAACCCUAACCAAACUUCUCUCUCUUCUUCACCACGCGGAUCUGAACCUUUACAGCGGCGGCACCACCACCGCCGACGACCAGAUCUGGAAGAGACGCAGAACCGACGCUGGCAACCAGUUCUGGAAUCGCCGCCUGCGGAUCUGUACAUUCGGCUGCCGAAACCCUAACUCCAACAGAUCUGUUUCACACCACCACCUCCAUUACCGCUGAAACAACCACCUCCCUUGAUCUCGCCGCCACUGCUCGUUUGAUGAUAAUGAAGCAACAAUCUCUAGGGUUUUUACUUUGCUCUCUCUCUCUCUCUCUCUCUCUCUCUUUCUCUCUCUCUCUCACUCUCUUUAUAUAUAUAUUCGAUUCAAUCUCACUUGUCUCUACUUCGAUUCGUAAGUAUCGUAUCGUAAUGAAUCCUUCUUCGCUGCUCAGUCCAAGGUCUUUUUCUUCUAUGGCGGUAGUGAAGGCCUCUACGCUUCAAUUCAUCUCCCAAUUCUUCCUGCAAAGCCGAGUCUUUCAUUAUGUAUAUUCUUCCUCAUCAAAACUGAGUAUUUGACUAUUUAUUUGUGUGUUUUCGGAUAAUUUGGAUCAUUACAUGUGUCGAGAUUGAGAUAUAUGUAAGAGGUGGUUUUAGUGGUUCAGAGCUCUGAAAUCGAUUUUAGAGGCUAUGGUUCAGAGAUGGUCUGAGAUCGGCAAUGCGGUGGUUUAAAUUUGUUGGUGAUCUAUUAGGUGAUGCUGUGGAAGAGUAAGAAUGAAACAGUGGCGAUUCAGGUGGUUACUCUUGCUACUUUGGUUAGUGCAUGAGAAAUCUGGUUACACUCUUAUAUCACUUGUCUCUAGUGUUCUCCAGCUUCUAUCGCAGAUUUUCUUGGCAACUAAACAGACUUUUCCCCGCAGAUUUCAUGACUAUGAUGGUUUCCCAGAUUUUUUUUUCCAAAUUUCAUGACUGAGAUCAUCUGUGACCUGAAAAUCGAACAUGAUCUGUGUUCUCACUAUUUGUUGUUGUUGUUCCAAAUGGUAGUUUGGGGAGCAAAGGAUUAAAACAAUUAAUGGAUGCAAAUAAAUUGAACAGUUUUUUUUUUU